GACGUAGGGGGGCCAGCGUUGCUCGGAAUUACUGGGCGUAAAGGGUUCGUAGGCGGUGCGGUAAGUCGGAAGUGAAAUCUCUGGGCUUAACUCAGAGGCUGCUUUCGAAACUGCCGUGCUGGAGUGCGGGAGAGGCGAGUGGAAUUGCAGGUGUAGCGGUGAAAUGCGUAGAUAUCUGCAGGAACACCCGUGGCGAAGGCGGCUCGCUGGACCGCAACUGACGCUGAGGAACGAAAGCUAGGGGAGCAAACAGG
rnacentral:rRNA from 1 species